GUUUUUGCUGAUAUUGAAAUGCUUCUGUAGUACUUCUUGCACACUUCUAUCUUCUGAGAGAUACUAAGGGGCGGGGGGGGGGGGGGGGAAGACAAAAUUGAGGAAAGAUGUAGUUUAAAACCCAAAUAUAAUCCUGUGCCUUACUGGUUGGUGUGCCUUAUUAAUGCUAUCUAAUAUUAAUUCAUUAUUAAAUAGAUGUUGGUCUUAUUUGUAGAACACUAAAACCAAAAUAAAGUUUCCAGUCUACUGAUUUCCUUAUCCUGUUCUUUAUAUUAAUUCAAUAAACACAAUGAUAAAACAAUCCUUGCUAACCCCAAAUUCCUACUUGAAUAAAGGAAACUACAGUAAUACCAGUGAAAUGAACAAAAUGCAGCACAAAAACACAAGCGCAUGAGUUACUGUACCUAGGGAAACAAGGUAAAGCACUACAAAUAAUGCUUAAACUGGAUGAGACAAGAGAUUUGAAAAAGAAGGAAGAGCAUUCCAGUUACAGGGAACAGCAUGAGUAGUAGGAAAAUCAUCACAUAUUGGCAGAAAAUGAGUAGUCACGUACUGGAGUUUCAGUUACUGGCAAAGUGAAUGUACAAAAAGACAAAGGCAGAAAAACCUAAUUGGAGGUAGCUGUCCAGACAAGAGGUAAGGAGGGUCUGAACUAUCUGAGUGGUAAUGAAGACAAAAGAGAAUUAAGACACUUAUAGGAGAUAUAUCUGGUAGAGAAUUAACUGGUAGCAGAAGAGAAGGAAGGGUUUGAAAGGUAGAAGAUAAAAAUGAAAGAUAAUCUAUGGGAAACAAAAUGGCCUGUGAAAAGUGAAAUGUGCUCAAGAAAUGAAUCUUGGAUUAUCAAUAUUUAAGUAGUAGGUGGGAAAAGAGAAAAAUUAAGAAAGUAAGAAAAAUACCAAAGACUGGAAGAGAAUCUAAGACACAGCAGAGAUCUAGAAAACACGGGAAGAAAGUUUUAAGAGAGAAGUGGGGUUCAACAAUAUGAACUACUUUGUAAAAUUAAGAUAUAUUUGAGAAGAGGCUAAUGGCUUUAGAAAUUCAAAGGUCACCAGGGCCUUUUGAGAAAGCAACAUCUAAAGAGGCAAGUGACUGCAGUAUAUUAGGGUUGAAUGGAAGGUGAGGCACAUUGGCAUUGAAGAAAGGAUUAGAUGAAAAGAGAGUAAAUUCAGAGGUAGCAGAGCCAAGAAAGGCCUGGAAAAGAUCGACAUAAUUUUACAAAAAUUAUCUGCAUGGAAUAAGAAUUCUUUUUUUCUUAAAAAAACAAACAAAAAAACCCCAGAAAACUAAGCAUUUCUGUAUUUUCUAGAGCUGAAUUACAUGUCUUUACUUUGUCCACUCUAAGAAGACCAGAUUCAGAAGUAAGUUCUAGUCUACUGGAAUGAAAUUUUAUACUCUCAGGAAAUAUAUUAUUAAUUUUAGUUCCCACUCCCUUGCUAUUGUUUCUAGUCUUCGUAUUUUAAAGGACUUCUGGUUACUAUAUAUAUCUUUUUCUAUCACAAACAGGGUAGAAUUUCCUUGGAAGUACACAGGGUGAACAUAAAAAAAAUAACUUUUGGAAAUUAAAAAAAUUUGUUUAGCUUUUCCACAGUUUUAAAAUUGAAAUAUGGAAGAUAUGUGGCUAAAUAUCAAAGGCAAACUAUAGUCUUUGCUUCUGUAAUCUGUAACUUGUAAAAGUUGAUGUGGUAAAAUCGGAGCACUUAGGAAAACUAAAGAAAAUCCACCUGGGACAAAACUGAUUUAAGAAAUUUUCUCUGCAAGAAUCAAUUAUUUUUAAAACCUGUAUUUGCCUCUUUUUGACACGAUGCUUCAAAGGUUAAUCUUCUAUACUCCAUCUUCCUACUUUAUCUCUUUAUUAUUAGUGGUUUGACUCCAGUCCCCCCUCUUUCUAAAAGCUAUCACCUUCUUGCUUCUAUAAUUACUUACUCUGCUUUUUAAAAUGCCUACCUUAUCUACAUGAGCCAUUUAAACAAACAAAAAAAUUGUCUAACAUCGUUUAUUAUAUUUUUAAAUCCAUCUUGAUUCAAACACUGUACCCUAUUUGAGGAUAAGGCUAUUAUCAACAACCACAUAAGCUACAGUACUUUGGUAGAUUUCAUUUGAGGAGAAUAAGGUAUGAUUCUUUUAAAUGUUCUUUUUAAAGGAUCUCUCUUAUACUGCCAUGCUAAGAUAGAGUCUACUCUGCUUACUUAUUUGACUCAUUUGAAGUAGGGCUAAAACAAACCUUCAAAUUAGGCAGGAUAUCAAGGUUCCAUCUUAUCCUGAAGAUAUUUUGUGGAUGAGAUUCCAUGUGUGACCUGUUAUCUGUAUCACUGCUAUUGGCUUAAUCUUGCCGUUAAAAAUAACUUCCUGGAUAAUCAGCACUAAGAGAAAGAAUAGCUCCCUUAAUGCAGCUACCACCCUACUCCACAAGGCAGGGACUCUGACCAUGGUGCUGACAGAUUUUUCAAGUGAAGCUCAUUUUAUUCACAUACCAAAGAGAGGCAUAAGAUAAUCAAGAUAGGAGAAGAAAAUAUUAGAACUCAGAGACACAAACACCAGUGAUGCUGCUUCUACUUAAUGAAAUGGACUAUUAAGACUGUCAAAAAGAUGACAGGAUAGUGCUCACAUUCAGGGGAUUUAAGGUCUGCAACAAAAGUCCAGAAAGUAGAGUAGUUACACUAUUAACAUACAGUUACCAUUUCCUAAGUCAUGCAGAGUUAUACUUCUUCACCAGUAACUCCCAGUAUCCUCUUUAUUUACAGACCCACUUUGAGAUGCUCAGAAUGCAAUACAGUUGGGAAGGACGGUGGAUGGAAAAUGGCACAAUGCAACCUGGACCAUGUAGUUACCUUAGGAAGAUUAAGUGUGAGCAGGAAGAAAUCAGGAAUCAAAUUUACCGUCAAAGAACACUAAAAACCAAAGGAUAACUAAUAUGUACUGCUUGCAAGGACAUACGAAGUAUUCUUAAAUGAAGAAAAUACUUCCACAAAACUGAUAGGCAUUCAAACUAUCCAAGAUAUCAAAAGCACAAUAGCAGGUCAAGUCAUGUUACCAAGAGCAACCCAGAAGCCCUAAGGAAAGAGUUCAAGAUCAAUAACAAGAAGGGGUUCCGAGUGGCACCAUCACAUAUUCAUUUACUUUCAGCUCAUUAAUACACAAUGUAGGUAUAUGAAUCCAGUUUGGAGACAUUACUAAAUCCAGCUGACUUGUUGAAUUUUUUUUUUUUUUUUUUGAGACAGAA